CUUUCUCUCCCCCUCUUUCUCUCUUCUUUUUCUUCCCCGUCCCCCCCGCCCCCUCCCCCUCAGGCCUGAUGAGCAGGUCUCGAGCCUCCAUCCAUCGGGGGAGCAUCCCCGCGAUGUCCUAUGCCCCCUUCAGAGAUGUACGGGGACCCCCUAUGCACCGAACCCAAUACGUUCAUUCCCCGUAUGACCGUCCCGGUUGGAACCCCCGGUUCUGCAUCAUCUCUGGGAACCAGCUGCUCAUGCUGGAUGAGGAUGAGAUACACCCCCUUCUGAUCCGCGACCGGAGGAGCGAGUCCAGCCGAAACAAACUGCUGAGACGCACCGUCUCUGUGCCAGUGGAGGGGCGGCCCCACGGCGAGCAUGAAUACCACUUGGGUCGCUCGAGGAGGAAGAGUGUCCCCGGGGGGAAACAGUACAGCAUGGAAGCCGCCCCCGCUGCGCCCUUCCGGCCCUCGCAAGGCUUCCUGAGCCGGAGGCUAAAAAGCUCCAUCAAACGUACAAAGUCACAACCCAAACUUGACCGGACCAGCAGCUUUCGACAGAUCCUGCCUCGCUUCCGAAGUGCUGACCAUGACCGGGCCCGGCUGAUGCAGAGCUUCAAGGAGUCUCACUCCCAUGAGUCCCUGCUGAGUCCCAGCAGUGCUGCUGAGGCCCUGGAGCUCAACCUGGAUGAAGACUCCAUUAUCAAGCCAGUACACAGCUCCAUCCUGGGCCAGGAGUUCUGCUUUGAGGUAACAACAUCGUCUGGGACAAAAUGUUUUGCCUGUCGGUCUGCAGCCGAAAGGGACAAAUGGAUUGAGAAUCUACAGAGGGCUGUGAAACCCAACAAGGACAACAGCCGCCGGGUAGAUAACGUGCUGAAACUAUGGAUCAUAGAAGCUCGAGAGCUGCCCCCCAAGAAGCGAUAUUACUGCGAGUUAUGCCUGGACGACAUGCUCUAUGCACGGACCACUUCCAAGCCCCGCUCAGCCUCAGGAGACACUGUCUUUUGGGGCGAGCACUUCGAGUUUAACAACCUGCCUGCUGUCCGGGCGCUGCGGCUGCAUCUGUACCGUGACUCGGACAAAAAGCGGAAGAAGGACAAGGCAGGCUACGUUGGCCUGGUGACUGUUCCAGUGGCCACCCUGGCUGGGCGCCACUUCACAGAGCAGUGGUACCCCGUGACCCUGCCAACAGGAAGUGGGGGCUCUGGGGGUAUGGGCUCGGGGGGAGGAGGGGGGUCAGGGGGCGGCUCAGGGGGCAAAGGGAAAGGAGGCUGUCCUGCUGUGCGGCUGAAGGCCCGUUACCAGACAAUGAGUAUCCUGCCCAUGGAGCUAUAUAAGGAGUUUGCAGAAUAUGUGACCAACCACUACCGCAUGCUGUGUGCCGUGCUGGAGCCCGCCCUCAAUGUCAAGGGCAAGGAGGAGGUCGCUAGUGCACUGGUUCACAUCCUGCAAAGCACAGGCAAGGCCAAGGACUUCCUUUCAGACAUGGCCAUGUCAGAGGUAGACCGGUUCAUGGAGCGGGAACACCUCAUAUUCCGCGAGAACACGCUCGCCACUAAAGCCAUAGAAGAGUAUAUGAGACUGAUUGGCCAGAAAUACCUCAAGGAUGCCAUUGGGGAGUUCAUCCGGGCUCUGUAUGAAUCUGAGGAGAACUGUGAAGUAGACCCCAUCAAGUGCACAGCGUCCAGUCUGGCAGAGCACCAGGCCAACCUGCGGAUGUGCUGUGAGUUGGCCCUGUGCAAGGUGGUCAACUCCCAUUGCGUGUUCCCGGGGGAGCUGAAGGAGGUGUUUGCAUCAUGGCGGCUGCGCUGUGCAGAGCGGGGCCGGGAGGACAUUGCUGACAGGCUGAUCAGCGCCUCGCUCUUCCUGCGCUUCCUCUGCCCGGCCAUCAUGUCGCCCAGUCUGUUUGGACUGAUGCAGGAGUACCCAGAUGAGCAGACCUCACGAACCCUCACCCUCAUCGCCAAGGUUAUCCAGAACCUGGCCAACUUUUCCAAGUUUACCUCAAAGGAGGACUUCCUGGGCUUCAUGAACGAGUUUCUGGAGCUGGAGUGGGGUUCUAUGCAGCAAUUCUUGUAUGAGAUAUCCAACCUGGACACACUGACCAACAGCAGCAGUUUUGAGGGCUACAUAGACUUGGGCCGCGAGCUCUCCACACUUCACGCCCUGCUCUGGGAGGUGCUGCCCCAGCUCAGCAAGGAAGCCCUCCUGAAGCUGGGCCCGCUGCCCCGGCUCCUCAGCGACAUCAGCACAGCCCUGAGGAACCCUAACAUCCAAAGGCAGCCGAGCCGCCAGAGCGAGCGCGCUCGGUCUCAGCCCAUGGUGCUGCGCGGGCCGUCAGCCGAGAUGCAGGGCUACAUGAUGCGGGACCUCAACAGCUCCAUCGACCUUCAGUCCUUCAUGGCUCGAGGCCUCAACAGCUCUAUGGACAUGGCUCGCCUCCCCUCCCCAACCAAGGAGAAACCCCCGCCGCCCCCUCCCGGUGGGGGUAAAGACCUGUUCUAUGUGAGCCGGCCACCACUGGCCCGGUCCUCCCCAGCAUACUGCACGAGCAGCUCGGACAUCACAGAGCCGGAGCAGAAGAUGCUGAGUGUCAACAAGAGUGUGUCCAUGCUGGACCUGCAGGGCGACGGGCCUGGGGGCCGCCUUAACAGCAGUAGUGUUUCCAACCUGGCAGCUGUUGGGGACCUGUUGCACUCAAGCCAGGCUUCACUGACAGCAGCCUUGGGGUUGCGGCCUGCACCUGCCGGGCGCCUCUCCCAAGGGAGUGGCUCUUCCAUCACAGCAGCCGGCAUGCGCCUCAGCCAGAUGGGUGUCACUACGGAUGGUGUCCCCGCCCAGCAACUGCGCAUCCCUCUUUCCUUCCAGAACCCUCUCUUCCAUAUGGCUGCCGAUGGACCAGGGCCCCCAGCAGGCCAUGGAGGGAGCAGUGGCCAUGGUCCACCUUCCUCCCAUCACCACCACCACCACCAUCACCAUCACCGAGGGGGAGAACCCCCAGGGGACACUUUUGCCCCGUUCCAUGGCUAUAGCAAGAGCGAGGACCUCUCUACAGGGGUCCCUAAGCCCCCUGCGGCCUCCAUCCUUCACAGCCACAGCUACAGUGAUGAGUUUGGACCCUCUGGUACUGAUUUUACCCGUCGGCAGCUCUCACUUCAGGACAACCUACAGCACAUGCUCUCCCCGCCCCAGAUCACCAUCGGUCCCCAGAGGCCAGCUCCCUCAGGGCCAGGAGGGGGCAGUGGUGGGGGCAGUGGUGGGGGCGGUGGGGGCCAGCCACCUCCCUUGCAGAGGGGCAAAUCUCAGCAGUUGACAGUGAGUGCUGCCCAGAAACCCCGGCCGUCCAGCGGGAACCUAUUGCAGUCCCCGGAACCAAGUUAUGGUCCUGCCCGUCCACGGCAACAGAGCCUCAGCAAAGAGGGCAGCAUUGGGGGCAGCGGGGGCAGCGGUGGCGGAGGGGGUGGGGGGCUCAAGCCCUCCAUCACCAAGCAGCAUUCCCAGACUCCAUCCACGCUGAACCCCACGAUGCCGGCCUCGGAGCGGACUGUAGCCUGGGUGUCCAAUAUGCCUCACCUGUCCGCUGACAUCGAGAGUGCACACAUUGAGCGGGAAGAGUACAAGCUGAAGGAGUACUCGAAGUCCAUGGACGAGAGCCGACUGGACAGGGUGAAGGAGUACGAGGAGGAGAUCCACUCACUGAAGGAAAGGCUACACAUGUCCAACCGGAAGCUGGAAGAGUACGAGCGGAGGCUGCUGUCCCAGGAAGAGCAGACCAGCAAGAUCCUGAUGCAGUACCAAGCCCGCCUGGAGCAGAGCGAGAAGCGCUUGAGGCAGCAGCAGGUGGAGAAGGACUCCCAGAUCAAGAGCAUCAUUGGCAGGCUGAUGCUGGUGGAGGAGGAGCUGCGCCGGGACCACCCCGCCAUGGCUGAGCCGCUGCCUGAACCCAAGAAGAGGCUGCUCGACGCUCAGCUCCUCAUCAGGUAAUUCUCCUGGUUCCGCUUUGACCACGGGCGGAGGACACUGGGGGAGGUGACUCCGGACCACUGCAGGAGAGGCAGCUUCCCCCCUUGGGUCCAACAAACCCGCGUGUGACGCUGGCCCCACCUUGGAACGGCCUGGCCCCCCCAGCCCCACCCCCCCCACCCCGGCUGCAGAUCACAGAGAACGGCGAGUUCCGGAACACCGCAGACCACUAGCCCACCCAGCAUCACAGACCUCCUUCCCUGUGCACCCUACCCCGGCCCACCCAGCGUCACAGACCUCCUUCCCAGUGCACCCGACCCUGGAACAUCACCAACCACCAGGACUGGACGUCACCAAGGGACAGCGGGAUUGUCUCCCUUAACGCCUCCUUGGGGCACCCAUCUGUCAACCCCACUGCUCCAUUCCAGGAGGGAGAGUGGGACCCUCAGCUGCCCUCUCACCCCAGGACACCACCUACCCCACACAGACCCCUUCACUCUGGGGUGCUAUCCCCAUCCUCUGCCUCACAGUUCCCCUGAGCACUGGGGGACAGACCCUCACCCCCACACUGGGGGUGUGGCACCUCCAAACUUUCAACUUCAGGGUGAUUUUUUUAGCAGUAACCAGAGCUGACAAUCUAUAACCCCCCUCUACCACCCCAUUUUGGCCUCCCCUGCCCCCCUUGUUAUGGGGAGGGGACCCCGGGUGAGGGGGCCCUAUUACCCCUUGAUUUCUCAGGAGCGUCUGGGGGGGCUCAGCACGCACAACUCCUUCUCCUCUUUCCACUCUUACAUUAACUCUCCCCACCCAGAACCCAGAUGGGGUGGAGGGGGCCACCGGGGCAGGGAGGGGGCGGCAAGGGGGGAAUGGGAGUUGCCUCCCCUUCUUCCCACACCUGAUCUGCUCUUGGCUGGUCCCAGAGCGGGGUGAGGGGGCUUAUGCCCCCCCCUCCCCCAGUGUGUUGGGUGGGGUGGAAUUGAGGUUCGGAUGAGGGGGUUAGGGUUUAGGAGGCCAUGUGUGUUGGGUCGUAGAGGACAGAUUAGCUGAUCUGCCCUACUCCGACACACAGCCAGUCCUCUACCCCUUCCCUCUCUUGUCUCUACUCCCAUGGGGAGGGGGGAACUUACUCUAGGAAAAGCCAUGUCUCUCUCCCCCAGGAUGGGGGGACCUGUGUUGGAGGAUGGGUGUUUGGGGGCCCCCUUACAUGACUCUGUCCCCUGGGGGAGGUAGGACAGGGCUGGGCUUCCCUCUCACCCUCCCCCUCACCCAGUCUCCCUCCCUCCCGCCAGCUCCACGCUUUUUCGGUGUUUUCUGUACAUAGCUCUCUGGCGGAACAGGGGAGGUAGGAUGGAUGGGGUCUGGGUGGGUAAACCAUGAAGGGGAGAAACCCCUCCUGGGUACCCCUCUUCUCUGACUGCUGCCCUCUACCCAGCCUUGUCUCUUCACCCCUUCUUGCGUUUGGUAUUGAGAAUUCUUCCCAGACUCCAGACUCGACCUUUCUUUUGUAUGAACAGCUCUCCUUCAAACUUACCCCUCUACAUACACCCACCCAGCCGGGGCCAAAUUUAUACUUAUAUAAAAGUUGUAAAUAUGUGAAAUUUUAUCCCAUUCCCUCUCCUCUGCUUCCCUACAUCAGGCCUUACCCUUGGACCUCCUCCCUCCUCUUUGGCUGUUGUAAUUAUCUGGGGUUUGUACUGUACAUAAUUGGGGUGGGGGGCUGGGAGGCGACCCCUCUGUACAGAGCUUCCUGGCUCCCUAGCCCCACCCCUCAUUUCCUUCCCCACCCACCACCUUAAGAGUAGGGAGAAGAUCUUCUUACUCAUUUUUUUUGCUGUUUGUUUACUCGUUCUCCUUUCUGCUCCUGCUCCCAGACUCUUGGUCCCCACCCCCAUCCCCCCACACCCCCUCUUUUCUCCCACUCCCGGGUCCAUUUCCCUUUUUUUUUCUGGAGUGUGUGGUGAAACAGAAAAAUCAUGUUUAAUAAACGGAGAUUGUUCUUUUA